rnacentral:lncRNA from 1 species
CCCAGAGCCUGGGUGUCAGACCGUCUCUGCCUCUCCCCUUCCCCUUUCCAUCCUGCACAGAACACUAACCCUGGCGUCCCUGGCGUCUGUGGCCCCAUCGCCCUCUGACCUCCCUGACAGCACUGUGAUCUCUUGCAGGGCAGGGGCCAUGCUGUGACUCUGCCUGGAUCCUCCACGCCCCGCACAGAACCCGCAGGGGGUGUUGACUCAGCAGGGCCACAGCGAUGCGUGACUUAAUGAAGUUGCUUUCAGUAGAAGGUUUCCAAACACAUGUUCCACACUCGGAUGAAGCCAUUGUGGCCUCCUCGGAUUUGCUUCCUGCAGAUGUUUGCUUCCAUCCGUGGUUUGGCAGAGAACAGAGCACUACGUUUCCAGCACGUCCUGCUCAUCCUGCUGGGGCCCGGACACUUCUU